rnacentral:rRNA from 1 species
AUUGAACGCUGGCGGCAUGCCUUACACAUGCAAGUCGAACGGUAACAGGUCUUCGGAUGCUGACGAGUGGCGAACGGGUGAGUAAUACAUCGGAACGUGCCUAGUAGUGGGGGAUAACUACUCGAAAGAGCGGCUAAUACCGCAUGAGAUCUACGGAUGAAAGCAGGGGAUCGCAAGACCUUGUGCUACUAGAGCGGCCGAUGGCAGAUUAGGUAGUUGGUGGGAUAAAAGCUUACCAAGCCGACGAUCUGUAGCUGGUCUGAGAGGACGAUCAGCCACACUGGGACUGAGACACGGCCCAGACUCCUACGGGAGGCAGCAGUGGGGAAUUUUGGACAAUGGGCGCAAGCCUGAUUCAGCAAUGCCGCGUGCAGGAUGAAGGCCUUCGGGUUGUAAACUGCUUUUGUACGGAACGAAAAGCCCUGGGUUAAUACCCUGGGGUCAUGACGGUACCGUAAGAAUAAGCACCGGCUAACUACGUGCCAGCCGCCGCCGUAAAAC